UUGAACGCUGGCGGCAGGCCUAACACAUGCCAGUCGAGCGGAUGAAGGGAGCUUGCUCCUGGAUUCAGCGGCGGACGGGUGAGUAAUGCCUAGGAAUCUGCCUGGUAGUGGGGGAUAACGUCCGGAAACGGGCGCUAAUACCGCAUACGUCCUGAGGGAGAAAGGGGGGGAUCUUCGGACCUCACGCUAUCAGAUGAGCCUAGGUCGGAUUAGCUAGUUGGUGGGGUAAAGGCCUACCAAGGCGACGAUCCGUAACUGGUCUGAGAGGAUGAUCAGUCACACUGGAACUGAGACACGGUCCAGACUCCUACGGGAGGCAGCAGUGGGGAAUAUUGGACAAUGGGCGAAAGCCUGAUCCAGCCAUGCCGCGUGUGUGAAGAAGGUCUUCGGAUUGUAAAGCACUUUAAGUUGGGAGGAAGGGCAGUAAGUUAAUACCUUGCUGUUUUGACGUUACCAACAGAAUAAGCACCGGCUAACUUCGUG
rnacentral:rRNA from 1 species